rnacentral:rRNA from 1 species
GUCUUGUAAUUGGAAUGAUGGUGACCUAAAUCCUCACCAGAGUAACAAUUGGAGGGCAAGUCUGGUGCCAGCAGCCGCGGUAAUUCCAGCUCCAAUAGCGUAUAUUAAACUUGUUGCAGUUAAAAAGCUCGUAGUUGAAUUUCUGCGUUAUCGAGUUAUUGACUCUUGUCUUUAAUCGAUUUCGCUUUUGGGAUUUAUCCCUUUUUACUUUGAGAAAAUUAGAGUGUUUCAAGCAGACUUUUGUCUUGAAUACUUCAGCAUGGAAUAAUAGAGUAGGACUUUGGUUCUAUUUUGUUGGUUUUUGAACCUUAGUAAUGGUUAAUAGGAACGGUUGGGGGCAUUCGUAUUUAACUGUCAGAGGUGAAAUUCUUAGAUUUGUUAAAGACGAACUACUGCGAAAGCAUUUGCCAAGGACGUUUCCAUUAAUCAAGAACGAAAGUUGGGGGAUCGAAGACGAUCAGAUACCGUCGUAGUCCUAACCAUAAACUA